ACGUAGGGUGCGGGCGUUAAUCGGAAUCACUGGGCGUAAAGCGUGCGCAGGCGGUGAUGUAAGACAGAGGUGAAAUCCCCGGGCUCAACCUGGGAACUGCCUUUGUGACUGCAUCGCUGGAGUGCGGCAGAGGGGGAUGGAAUUCCGCGUGUAGCAGUGAAAUGCGUAGAUAUGCGGAGGAACACCGAUGGCGAAGGCAAUCCACUGGGCCUGCACUGACGCUCAUGCACGAAAGCGUGGGGAGCAAACAG
rnacentral:rRNA from 1 species